UACGUAGGCAGCAAGCGUUGUUCGGAAUUACUGGGCGUAAAGAGUGUGUAGGCGGUGCUCUAAGUUCGGGUGUGAAAUCUCCCGGCUCAACUGGGAGGGUGCGCCGGAAACUGGAAGUGCUGGAGCGCGGGAGAGGGAAAGCGGAAUUCCUGGUGUAGCGGUGAAAUGCGUAGAUAUCAGGAGGAACACCGGCGGUGUAGACGGCUUUCUGGACCGUAGCUGACGCUGAGACACGAAAGACGUGGGUAGCAAACAGG
rnacentral:rRNA from 1 species